rnacentral:tRNA from 4 species
GCCGAUGUGGUGGAAUUGGUAGACACGCACGACUCAAAAUCGUGUGCCGCAAGGCAUGUGGGUUCGAUUCCCACCGUCGGCACCA